rnacentral:rRNA from 1 species
UACGGGGGGGGCAAGCGUUGUUCGGAAUUACUGGGCGUAAAGGGCUCGUAGGCGGCCAACUAAGUCGGACGUGAAAUCCCCAGGCUCAACCUGGGAACUGCGUCCGAUACUGGAUGGCUUGAAUCCGGGAGAGGGAUGCAGAAUUCCAGGUGUAGCGGUGAAAUGCGUAGAUAUCGGGAGGAACACCAGUGGCGAAGGCGGUUACCUGGGGCUUUGCUGACGCUGAUGCGCGAAAGCGUGGGGAGCGAUCCGG